UCCUCCACCUGCAGGGACAGAAGAAGUACUACACUCUGGUACAGUUGCAGUAUUGCAGUAAAACACAUGGGGGCGCUGCAGAGUAAGAACCAGCUCACCUCUGUGUAUCUGUAGAUGAUGUUAAGGUGUCUCAAGUGUGGUGAAUGUGUUGUGCCAGGACUGUGUGUGCAGGGCGGAGUGUGUGACGUCCGUCAGUCCUCUGAUCAUCAUGAACGACUCAGCGACUCUGACGCUCAGAGCCAGACUGUGGAACUCCACCAUGAUCGAGCACAGAUGAACCAACUGCUGAUGGAUGGGACCCACCCAGAGUGUUUAACCCAAGGGUGGAUGGUCCUGAUCAUGAAGGACCCCCAGAAGGGCACGAUUCCAUCCACCAAUAACCUUCCUCUGUACAACAUAGCAGCUCCUGUCAGGCAUCACGGUGGCUAAGAUGAAUAGGCACAUGGCCCAAUACUGCAAGACCAGGAAGGCCGAUCUGUGCAUCGCCUGGAUUUACUACAAGAAAGCCUACGACUCAGUGCCACACACAUGGAUACUGGAAUGCUUGGAAAUGUACAACAUCAACAGGACACUUAGAGCCUUCAUCAAGAACUCAAUGGGGCUGUGUAAAACAACUCUGGAGGCCAACUCCAUGCCAGUUGCACAAGUUACCAUCAAGUGCAGCAUUUACCAAGGUUAAAUUCGGGUGUACCACUCCAUGUAUCCAGGAUCAUAACAACAGUGCAAACAGGGAACAGGCUGUUUAUCAAGAUGGGGAGAUUGUUGGUGAACACAAGUUCAAAAUGUCAUGGAUCAAAGUCCACAAGACAUUCAGAGCAAGACCAGCGGCUGUUGAGAAAGAUUAUUGUUACAUGAAGGAAAUGGUGGCUGAUGUUCUCUCCUGUGUGUCUGGUUCAAACCGAGGCAUGAACACGACCAUGGCUCCACAAGAGAGAAACAUCCAGAUCACAGAUCAUUUUUCAAACGCAGCAGUUUUCACGUUUCAAGUAGUAACACCAGCAAUGUUCAAACCCACAGCUUUAAUUUUAAAUCAAGAAGCUCGUGUUUUCAUGGACACAUCUAUGUAUUUUCAUAUUUUUCACAUUUAUACCGUUUGUAUAAAUGUUUUCAAUUUAAAUAAUUAACAUUUUUCUAUGAUACUGUAUUUUUUUGAGCUGUGCAACACAUGCUCCUAAUUAUAUGGAUUCAAAUGUGAACUACAGGUUAAAUAUUAGAUUAGAUUCAUCUACUUCUACAUCUUCAAACCCUGUAUAGAUUCCACUUGGCUCAGAGUAGAUAUUUCUUAUUUUGCUAACUGCACAUGAUGGAAUGAGUCUGUGGAUUCUUCUUCCCAGCCUGCCGUGCACGCACCAUGUAAACUGACGAUAUGAGGCGUAUCUGUAAGACCUCAAAUCAGAAGGUUUGAGUCAAACAUACUGUUAAGCUUUGAAUGACUGAUACACAUUGUUUGCAUUAACCUGUAAAACUACUAUAGUCUUGGCAUUAUAAGGCCACGGUCCUGGUAGAAUUUUUGUCAUCGAUUGUUGAGUGUACUGUGUGUACAGGUAAACUCUCAGUCCUCUGUCUUGAAUUACAAACAUGCCACUUUAAGUGGA